AAAAUGACUCUCAGCAA
rnacentral:rRNA from 4 species